rnacentral:lncRNA from 1 species
AUAUUUUUAUUCUUAGUUUUAUUUUUAUUCUUUUUACUUUACAGUUUGCUGCGCUUAUUCCUCUUACCUUACUUUCUCACCAUCACCACCAUCUCCGACGACUCCUUCCCAUCCAUGGCAUUGAUGGUUGACAAUGUGGUUGACGGAGCAGUUUAUAUCGUUGAUGAUAAUGAGAGGAGCAGUUGGUGGUGUGGAUGAGGAGGGAGUGAAGGUCGGCAUCGGAGGCAAUGUGGAUGAGCUCAAGGACAUAGAUGUCGUAGCUCCGGUGAUUAGCUUAAGUUAUUAGAUAAUAGUGUUCUUAAUUUUUAUAUUUAAUAAAAUAUUUAGGAUUAAAUUGUUAGAAAAUUGCGUACGGUAAAAACGCAGCGGAAAAGAAAAUCAAACAAAUUUGAUUUUAAAAAACUCUCGAGAUCUAAUCUCAAAACCACGCAAUUAGGAUCCCUCAUGUUCUUUAAGAUUAAAGGAGAAAAGUAAGAUCGAAUAUUUACAUUUUUCGCGGAUAAAUCUUCGCCCCAAUUUGAUAAUCGUGGAAUCGAAUUUUCUUGAAGCCGCACACGCGUCCGGCCUCUAUAAGUAUCCACACGAGGUUCUUGAUUUGAUCAAUAUUCUCACCGGGGUGCUAGCUCCCUUGCAAAAAGACGUCUUUCUUGUUAGAAUAUGGAAGAGAGAAGAGAAGAGAGAUGACGGCUAGGAUUUUCUAAAACUCCCGUAUUAUUAUAUAGAGGAAUAUAAUCUUCUUUAAUAAUAUAAUAACCAUUAUGGAUAAGUACAAAUCUAGAUUUAAAUUUAUCCUUUCCUUAAUUGGUUAGAUCGAUCAAAUCCUAAUUUGAUUUGACUUGAACUUUAUAUUAAUUUGAUCAUAUCAAAUUAAUAAUGCAAUAUUUGCACAUAAGUCCUAUUAUAAUUUAUUAACUAUUAGUAAGUCAUCUCUAGUAACAUUUACACUUUAAUACCACUAAUUUGUAAUAAUUACAAAUUAGUCCAAUUAUCAACAUAUUGACAAUUAGGUCCUCCGGCGAUUCAAUAAUCGCGAUCUAGCUAUCCGAUCAAUCACAACAUCUUAUAUGUGUGACCCCAUAGGUUCUAUUCUAUAUGGUAGUGAGAUAUAUUUUGAUCGCUAUCAACAAUAUCACUGAAACUCCUUUCAAUGGAUUGGAACAAUUCCUACUCAGCCCAACGAGAAUUAUUAAUUAUCUAGAUAAUUCUCAUGAGUCUUACAAUCUACCAGUGACGCCUAACAGUAUGUAGUGGCAUUCCAGUAGAAUGGAAUACUGAACCUCUUGGUGUAGUUACCGUGUGAUACAAUCUUUCUAUCAUGAGUCCUGACUAAACGGAGGUUAUCGAAUAACUCGUCAAACCCCAUCGUCUGUCAUAUGUUAAAUUUAUUCGACUCGAGUUUCUAAUAUCGAAAGCCCUUUUCCGCUAUUAACUCUGCCCUGGCCAAGGUCUUCUAAAUUCGGUCUCAUAAAUCAUAUAGGACUAACACCUCUAUCUACUAAGGGAGAUAGAUUCCAUCUAAGUGCGCACCCUAUUCCUACAAUGAACCUACUGCAGCCAACAUGUACC